GCCGGUUUUUUUUUUUUUAUAUUUUUUUCUGCUUAAAACUAGUGGAGGCGGCCUAAUACCUGCAUGUCGAGCGGACAGAUGAGAGCAUACUCCUAGAUGUCAGCGGCUGACGGGUGAGUAACACGUGGGUAACCUGCCGGUAAGACUGGGAUAACUCCGGGAACCCGGGGAUAAUACUGGAUGGUUGUCUGAACUGCAUGGUUCAAACGUAAAAGGUGGUUUGGGCUACCACUUACAGAUGGACCCGCGGCGCAUUAGCUAGUUGGUGAGGUAACGGCUCACCAAGGCGACGAUGCGUAGCGGACCUGAGAGGGUGAUCGGCCACACUGGGACUGAGACACGGCCCAGACUCCUACGGGAGGCAGCAGUAGGGAAUCUUCCGCAAUGGACGAAAGUCUGAUGGAGCAACGCCGCGUGAGUGAUGAAGGUUUUAGGAUCGUAAAGCUCUGUUGUUAGGGAAGAACAAGUACCGUUUGAAUAGGGCGGUACCUUGACGGUACCUAACGAGAAAGCCACGGCUAACUACGUGCCAGCAGCCGCGGUAAUACGUAGGGGGCAAGCGUUGUCCGGAAUUAUUGGGCGUAAAGGGCUCGCAGGCGGUUUCUUAAGUCUGAUGUGAAAGCCCCCGGCUCAACCGGGGAGGGUCAUUGGAAACUGGGGAACUUGAGUGCAGAAGAGGAGAGUGGAAUUCCACGUGUAGCGGUGAAAUGCGUAGAGAUGUGGAGGAACACCAGUGGCGAAGGCGACUCUCUGGUCUGUAACUGACGCUGAGGAGCGAAAGCGUGGGGAGCGAACAGGAUUAGAUACCCUGGUAGUCCACGCCGUAAACGAUGAGUGCUAAGUGUUAGGGGGUUUCCGCCCCUUAGUGCUGCAGCUAACGCAUUAAGCACUCCGCCUGGGGAGUACGGUCGCAAGACUGAAACUCAAAGGAAUUGACGGGGGCCCGCACAAGCGGUGGAGCAUGUGGUUUAAUUCGAAGCAACGCGAAGAACCUUACCAGGUCUUGACAUCCUCUGACAAUCCUAGAGAUAGGACGUCCCCUUCGGGGGCAGAGUGACAGGUGGUGCAUGGUUGUCGUCAGCUCGUGUCGUGAGAUGUUGGGUUAAGUCCCGCAACGAGCGCAACCCUUGAUCUUAGUUGCCAGCAUUCAGUUGGGCACUCUAAGGUGACUGCCGGUGACAAACCGGAGGAAGGUGGGGGAUGACGUCAAAUCAUCAUGCCCCUUAUGACCUGGGCUACACACGUGCUACAAUGGACAGAACAAAGGGCAGCGAAACCGCGAGGUUAAGCCAAUCCCACAAAUCUGUUCUCAGUUCGGAUCGCAGUCUGCAACUCGACUGCGUGAAGCUGGAAUCGCUAGUAAUCGCGGAUCACCAUGCCCCCGGGUGGAAAACCUUUCCCGGGGCCUUGUACACACCCGCCCGUCACACCACGAAGAGUUUGUAACACCCCGAAGUCCGGUGAAGGUAACCCUUUUAGGAGCCAGCCGCCCCAAAGUGGGACAGAUGAUUGGGGUGAUACUAAAAAGACGGGAGGGGAAAAAAAAAAAAAAAAAAAAGGUC
rnacentral:rRNA from 1 species